rnacentral:rRNA from 1 species
UACGUAGGGUGCAAGCGUUGUCCGGAAUUAUUGGGCGUAAAGAGCUCGUAGGCGGUUUGUUGCGUCGGCUGUGAAAUCCCGAGGCUCAACCUCGGGUCUGCAGUCGAUACGAGCAAACUAGAGUGUUGCAGGGAGACUGGAAUUCCUGGUGUAGCGGUUGAAAUGCGCAGAUAUCAAGGAGGAACACCCGUAGCGGAAGGCGGC